rnacentral:lncRNA from 1 species
AGAAUUAGCAAGACAACAGGCCCUGUCACGAGGGCAAUCGAGCGCUUCGACUCCUUGGCGCACGUGGCCUCGGCGCAAACCCGUCACGCUCGCACUCUUUGUAUCACGUGCGUCUUCUUGCCCGCCAUCGGCUCGGGUUCGAGAGCAGCGGGCGUCCCUCCGGGACCCCUCGCUGGGGGAUGGCGCUCCGAAACGGUGAGCCGCAGUCAUCGUGCAGACAUGCUCUCCGCCGCCCCUUAUUUGGCCGUCCCGCCGCUCGUUCCCGUGGCCAGACGCCCCCGUUUGGGUCUCCCCCGGGGGGUAUAGCGUUCCCCCUCGCUGCCCCUACUUAAGGAGUCAAGCCGAGAGCGCGGCCAGUCGAGCGCCGGACCGAGGGCUCCGCGUGCCCGCAUGCCGAGGCGGAGAGCCAUGUUGCCCGAGACGGCUCAGUACACGGCCACCUACAUCUUGAGCAGGCCCCGGUCCAUAGCGUACGAGCCGCUCUACAGCAGCCGCUACCUGACCCCCGUCCUGGAGACGUUCCGCACCCCCCAUCGGGGCAAAGGCGACUACUGGAUGAGUCCACAGAGGUACCACCUGGCGGGGUCCUGCUGGCGCUCCCCGAAACGUCACCUGCUCGUCUUCCCGGGGAACACGGGAUUCUCCGACGUGCCGUCGAGUCACCUGGCGGGACACUGCAGCCUGCGCACGAGCCUCACGUGGAAGUACCGCUGGCAGAAGCUCCGGGAGCAGGUGGGCCGACUCUACCAUUAGGAUGAUACAUAAAGGGCGAGGCCUGAGGUCCGGACUGGUGUCGGAACGACACGAGGAUGGGGAUGAAGAUGAUGAUGAAGAUGAAGAUGAGGAUGAGGAAGGUGGAGCUGAGCUCCAGUGGCCCUGUGUAUCGUCUGGUUUUGUUUCACUCUGUACACCUGCUGUACGCGUCUCUUGUUUACUCUGCACACGGAGGUAUAAACAUGCCUGAUGGCUCAAGACCACUAUCGGUUUGUGUGCGUGUGAGUCUCCUCCACCACUUUCACUUUCUCUCUCAGUCCUUCUUUCCCUCCAGCUGAUCACAGGGGUUUCUGGGGAAUUUUGCUCUCAGCGCGCACACGCACGCACACACGCACGCACGCACACCCGCACUGCUGGGAAACACACAGCUCCUCCACCGUCCAGAGGGACACACACCAGGGAGUUUUUGCGUGACGCCGGAACCCGCAGAACUUUCUGACUGAACUCAUGGGAAUCCCGCUCUCAUUUGCAUACUCAGUUAGCACUGCUGACACAAAGUGCUGCAUGGUAAAACAAGGUUUAAGAAACGCUGUAAAACACAGUUAUAUGAAAUCUUUUGCACCCGCCCCCCCUCCCAUUGUGU